rnacentral:lncRNA from 1 species
GUGAGUGGAAUCGCUAACAUCCAUAUAAUAUUGUAUAAUUUACAAAUCACCCACACAUACUUCAUUUCAUUUCAACCUUACUUCAAACACAUGUGUUGGUUGAUAUUAUCCUCUAUCUUUAAGAUGAAAAUAAGGUCCAAGUUGGGUUCAAAUUAUUAUGGGACCCAUGCCCCACUAAAAGGAUGCUGAGGAGCCCAUUCUGCACUCCACCCUAACCAGCUUAGUGGGUUUUGUGUUUUUAGGUCCGUGCUGCAUGGGAAUCCCCUUCCUACAUUUGAGAAACUUCCUGCCAUGUGAUUCUUAGGGUGAGCAGAGCUAGCCUUUCAGUAGAGAAGCCUAGAAGGCCAAUCAAUACCUGCCCUCCUGAGCCCCCCCAGGUGUCUAGGAUGCAGGUUAGCACUAGUGCUCUGACAAUUGCACGACCCUACCUGAGGCUCUGAAUUGAGAGCUGGUGAGGCCAAGAAAUGGGGAUGGUCCUGCUAGGGUGGUGGCAGCGGCAGCAAUGGCAGUGACAUCGGGUUUCCAGGGGCUGUGCCACCAAUGAAGGCACUUGCAGUGGUGACACAGGCUCAGGUGAACUCUUCAAAAUGUGCCUGUAGGGAAUCUGGGGCUGUGGUUCCAGGACCCGGCUUUCUUUUGUGCCUGCCCAUUCCCUGAACCUCUUUCUCCAAGCAUUCUGGAGUCUGUGAGCUGCCUUUAGUAAAGUCUUUUUUUGCUCAGUUCAGGCAGAGCCAUUUCUAUUGUUUGUGGCCAACAACCCUGACUGGUACACCUGCUUAAACCAAGAGCAUUGUUACAUCUGCAAGAAGAGUCUGCAGCUCACCAUAGUGUAUUUAAGUUCUCAACAUCCAAGUUAUGUAGAAGACUCCAAGUUGAGGAGUGGGCAUUCACACUUGUUCUUGUUGCUCAGGAAAAUUAACCUCAUUCAGACUGAGGAGAACAGAAAUACUUUGAGAAAUCUCACAAAAUAGCCAUCAUAAUGUGAAGAAGCCGAAGCAGCCUGUGAAGAGGCGCUAGUGGAAAGGAACUCAGGUGCCCCUGCCCUCAGUCCCAGCUGAACUCUCAGCUGACAGCCAUCACCAACUUGCCAGCCACAGGAGUGAGCCAACUUGAGAGUGGAUCUUUCAGUCCCAGUGGAGCCAUCUCAGCUGACACACCAUGGUAAAAAGAUGAACCAUCCUUGCUGAUCCUUGCCAGUGCUGCAGAUACAUAAGCAAAAUAAAUGUUUUUGUUGUUUUAAGCCACU